ACACCAUGAGAGUUGGCAAUACCCAAAGUUCGUGAGCUAACCCGUAAGGGAGGCAGCGACCUAAGGUAGGGUCAGCGAUUGGGGUGAAGUCGUAACAAGGUAGCCGUAGGAGAACCUGCGGCUGGAUCACCUCCUUUCUAUGGAGA
rnacentral:rRNA from 1 species